rnacentral:rRNA from 1 species
UAGGGAAUCUUCCGCAAUGGGCGAAAGCCUGACGGAGCAACGCCGCGUGAGUGAUGAAGGUCUUCGGAUCGUAAAACUCUGUUAUUAGGGAAGAACAAAUGUGUAAGUAACUAUGCACGUCUUGACGGUACCUAAUCAGAAAGCCACGGCUAACUACGUGCCAGCAGCCGCGGUAAUACGUAGGUGGCAAGCGUUAUCCGGAAUUAUUGGGCGUAAAGCGCGCGUAGGUGGUUUUUUAAGUCUGAUGUGAAAGCCCACGGCUCAACCGUGGAGGGUCAUUGGAAACUGGAAAACUUGAGUGCAGAAGAGGAAAGUGGAAUUCCAUGUGUAGCGGUGAAAUGCGCAGAGAUAUGGAGGAACACCAGUGGCGAAGGCGACUUUCUGGUCUGUAACUGACGCUGAUGUGCGAAAGCGUGGGGAUCAAACAGG